CCGAGUUAGGGUCUCACCGGCCCGACCUCCCAACCCUUUGUUUACUGAACUGUCGUUGCUUCGGCGGGCCCGUCUUCACACGACCGCCGGAGGGACCGUCGCGAGACGGCCUUCCCUCUGGCCCGCGCCCGCCGGUGGCCUCUACAAACCAAAAUCUGAACUGAACCGUGUCAUGUCUAAGUUCCUUUUAAAUAAAAACA
rnacentral:misc_RNA from 1 species